rnacentral:rRNA from 1 species
UCGAGCGGUAUGAAGGGAGCUUGCUCCUGGAUUCAGCGGCGGACGGGUGAGUAAUGCCUAGGAAUCUGCCUGGUAGUGGGGGAUAACGUCCGGAAACGGGCGCUAAUACCGCAUACGUCCUGAGGGAGAAAGUGGGGGAUCUUCGGACCUCACGCUAUCAGAUGAGCCUAGGUCGGAUUAGCUAGUUGGUGGGGUAAAGGCCUACCAAGGCGACGAUCCGUAACUGGUCUGAGAGGAUGAUCAGUCACACUGGAACUGAGACACGGUCCAGACUCCUACGGGAGGCAGCAGUGGGGAAUAUUGGACAAUGGGCGAAAGCCUGAUCCAGCCAUGCCGCGUGUGUGAAGAAGGUCUUCGGAUUGUAAAGCACUUUAAGUUGGGAGGAAGGGCAGUAAGUUAAUACCUUGCUGUUUUGACGUUACCAACAGAAUAAGCACCGGCUAACUUCGUGCCAGCAGCC